UAGAUAAGGAUGAAGCAAAAUAUAUAAUCCAACACUUGAUCUGAUUUAGUGAUGCAAGAUAUAUUACUAUGUUUCUGAAUCUAC